ACUAUCAGUCAGGGUCAAGAACUCUUGAAGACCGAUCCGUAUUGCUGUUAUCCUCCAGACAAAAUUCCAUCUUCGUGAGACCCAUAGUUCUCCCCUGAAUUUCUGGCAUUUGAUUGUACUUGAAACAGGUUGUAAUCUCAAUUGGGGUCCAAAUUUUUUUUCUUCUGACAGAGUUGAUGGACGAUGGGCUCAAGAAUGCAAAGCGACUGGGAGGAAAAUUGGCCACCCGUGAAAGACAACUGCUGAGGGGAAAAACAUGUUCAAGAAAUGGACUAUGGAGAGGACAGUCUACCUCUUAUUGAAGUAUUUCCUAAAAUUCCAGUCCAGCUAAUGCGCUUUUUGGACAACUUUUUAUAGCUCAGAUGAAGGAAGAACGAAAUAAGGAGGCUACUUUUCUUAUUUCAGCCUUCAAGGUAUGUGCAGGAGUUAUUGUUUCAGUGUUUUUGUUCUCUCUUUGCUUUCUUUUUUUUUUCAAAUUUAUUUAGCAGUUUAUUCUUUGCACAACUAUUGAUGGAUUUUGGGUAAGUCAUUGGAGGCUGUUUAUGGAUUUCAAGGUGAAGAAGUGGAUAAAGAAUCUAAACUGACACCUUAUGGUGAAAAAAUUAGUCGAGGUAUGUGGUGAUGGAAAUAUCACAAUUAGCCUGGCACUAUUGUCUUUGAGCUACUGGAAGAUGAUCAAUGUGGUUCUUUACAAACUAAAAUUGAAGGAUAUAGCAGUCCAGAUGCCAAGUCAAACCCUUUACAAGACCCUCGGACUAGCUUUGGA